rnacentral:rRNA from 1 species
CCCUUAGAUGUUCUGGGCCGCACACGCGCUACACUGGCAGGUUCAUCGAGCUUCAUGCCCUGAUCUGAGGAGAACGGGAAAUCUUUGAACACCUGCCGUGCUUGGGAUAGAUGUUUGCAAUUAUUCAUCUUCAACGAGGAUUGCCUUGUAAGCGCACGUCAUCAGCGUGCAUUGAAUACGACCCUGUAUUCUGUACACACCGCCCGUCGCUCCUACCGAUUGAAGUUUUCGGUGAAUUUACUGGAGAUCCCUUUUGAAGGUGGUUCGCCACUGGAAGAAGUAUUCAAAAGUAAAUGAAUCGAAUGCUUUAGAGGAAGGAGAAGUCGUAACA